rfam:Picea glauca, whole genome shotgun sequence.
ACAUGCCUACAUCAUAGCAUUAAUGCCUCAGAUCCCAUUAGAACUCCACUGUUGAGUGUGCUCAGGAUAGAAUAGUAUUGGGAUGGGUGACCACUUGGGAAGUCCUAGUGUUUUACAUGCC